rnacentral:rRNA from 1 species
CCUACGGGGGAAGCAGUGGGGGAUAUUUGGCAAUGGGCGCAAGCCUGACCCAGCAACGCCGCGUGAAGGAAGAAGGCUUUUGGGGUGGUAACCUCCUUUUAGAGGGAAGAGGAGAAGACGGUACCCCCUUAAUUAGCCACGGCCAACUACGUGCCAGCAGCCGCGGUAAUACGUAGGUGGCAAGCGUUGUCCGGAUUUACUGGGUGUAAAGGGCGUGCAGCCGGGAAGACAAGUCAGAUGUGAAAUCCCGCGGCUCAACCGGGGAACUGCAUUUGAAACUGUUUUUCUUGAGUACCGGAGAGGUCAUCGGAAUUCCUUGUGUAGCGGUGAAAUGCGUAGAUAUCACACAGAACACCGAUUGCGAAGGCAUCUCACGAAUCCGCGAUUGACGCUGAUGCACGAAAGCGUGGGUAUCAAACAGGAUUAGAUACCCGUGUAGUC